rnacentral:rRNA from 1 species
UGGAAACUNUCUGACUUGAGUGCAGAAGGGGAGAGUGGAAUUCCAUGUGUAGCGGUGAAAUGCGUAGAUAUAUGGAGGAACACCAGUGGCGAAAGCGGCUCUNUGGUCUGUCACUGACGCUGAGGCUCGAAAGCGUGGGUAGCGAACAGGAUUAGAUACCCUGGUAGUCCACGCCGUAAACGAUGAGUGCUAGGUGUUAGGCCCUUUCCGGGGCUUAGUGCCGGAGCUAACGCAAUAAGCACUCCGCCUGGGGAGUACGACCGCAAGGUUGAAACUCAAAGGAAUUGACGGGGGCCCGCACAAGCGGUGGAGCAUGUGGUUUAAUUCGAAGCAACGCGAAGAACCUUACCAGGUCUUGACAUCCCGAUGCUAUUCUUAGAGAUAGGAAGUUACUUCGGUACAUCGGAGACAGGUGGUGCAUGGUUGUCGUCAGCUCGUGUCGUGAGAUGUUGGGUUAAGUCCCGCAACGAGCGCAACCCUUAUUGUUAGUUGCCAUCAUUAAGUUGGGCACUCUAGCGAGACUGCCGGUAAUAAACCGGAGGAAGGUGGGGAUGACGUCAAAUCAUCAUGCCCCUUAUGACCUGGGCUACACACGUGCUACAAUGGUCGGUACAACGAGUUGCGAGCCGGUGACGGCAAGCUAAUCUCUGAAAGCCGAUCUCAGUUCGGAUUGGAGGCUGCAAC